GGGUCAGUAGGUUGGUCGUGCCACCGGUACGUACUGGUCUCACUGAUUCCUCCUUCCUGAAGAACCGUAAUGCCAUUAAUUUGGUGCUGCGGGGAAACAGGACUGUUACUUUGAAAAAAUUAGAGUGUUUAAAGCAAGCUAACGCUUGGAUACAUUAGCAUGGAAUAAUGAAAUAGGACGAUCGAUCCUAUUUUGUUGGUUUCUAGGAUUGACGUA
rnacentral:rRNA from 1 species